GGGGAUUUAGCUCAGCAGUAGAGCGUUUGCCUAGCAAGCACAAGGCCCUGGGUUCGAUCCCCAGCACCG
rnacentral:tRNA from 1 species